rnacentral:rRNA from 1 species
GACGAACGCUGGCGGCGCGCUUAACACAUGCAAGUCGAGCGAUGAAAUUUCGACAGAUCCCUUCGGGGUGAAGAUGAAAUGGAUUAGCGGCGGACGGGUGAGUAACACGUGAGUAACCUGCCUUAGACAUCGGGAUAGCAUCGGGAAACCGGGAUUAAUACCAAAUGAAAUCACAUAUGCACAUGCAUAAAUGAUCAAAGCUCCGGCGGUCUAAGAUGGACUCGCGUCCCAUUAGCUAGUUGGUGAGGUAACGGCCCACCAAGGCGACGAUGGGUAGCCGGCCUGAGAGGGUGAACGGCCACAUUGGAACUGAGAAACGGUCCAAACUCCUACGGGAGGCAGCAGUGGGGAAUAUUGCACAAUGGAGGGAACUCUGAUGCAGCGACGCCGCGUGAACGAAGAAGGCUUUCGAGUCGUAAAGUUCUUUUAUAUGGGAAGAUAAUGACGGUACCAUAAGAAAAAGCCCCGGCUAACUACGUGCCAGCAGCCGCGGUAAUACGUAGGGGGCUAGCGUUGUCCGGAAUCACUGGGCGUAAAGGGUUCGCAGGCGGAAAUGCAAGUCAGGUGUAAAAGGCAGUAGCUUAACUACUGUAAGCAUUUGAAACUGCAUAUCUUGAGAAGAGUAGAGGUAAGUGGAAUUUUUAGUGUAGCGGUGAAAUGCGUAGAUAUUAAAAAGAAUACCGGUGGCGAAGGCGACUUACUGGGCUCAUUCUGACGCUGAGGAACGAAAGCGUGGGUAGCAAACAGG